rnacentral:rRNA from 1 species
UACGUAGGGGGCUAGCGUUGUCCGGAUUUAUUGGGCGUAAAGAGCGUGUAGGCGGCCAUGUAGGUCUGCUGUGAAACUCGAGGCUCAACCUCGAGACGUCGGCGGAAACCAUCUGGCUAGAGUCCGGAAGAGGAGAGUGGAAUUCCUGGUGUAGCGGUGAAAUGCGCAGAUAUCAGGAAGAACACCCGUGGCGAAGGCGGCUCUCUGGGACGGUACUGACGCUGAGACGCGAAAGCGUGGGGAGCGAACAGG